UGCUUCUAUCGACAGGAUCCUACCCCAAAACAAUGGACGGAAGAGAAGAACAACCACCGGACAAGAAGAAAGGAAAGGAAUUUCUGCAAGAAACCCUACUUCCACUUUGAGAUGCUAUACACCCUAAGGGGAUAAAUGGUGGAAAUACAAUUGCAGAAAUGAAUGACAACUUAUUAUUGAAGCCUACAUUUUCAUGCAUGCCGUUGCUAAGGGGCGACCUGGAUAUACGCUGCAAAUCGGAAAUUGCAAAUAUCAGGGAAGUACUACUAAGCUCUCAAAAAUAAUGAACAGAUCUAUAUAACUAUAUUUAAUUUUGCAUAUACAAAAGUAGAAGAUGUAAAAUAGAAGAUGUCCGGAGUUUAUCGUCGUCGACCAACGAUGACAAUACAUGGGGUCUAGCUACUGAAAGAAUCCAAAAUGAACUACAAGCAAGCAAGAAAGCAAGAAGAUUCAUGUUUGAGACUCAAAAACAUCAAUAAAUAUCUCAUGUAAGCUA